UACAGAGACUGCAAGCGUUAUUCGGAUUCACUGGGCGUAAAGGGUGCGCAGGCGGCUAAGUGUGUGAGGCGUGAAAGCCUGGGGCUUAACCCCAGAAUUGCACCUCAAACUACUUGGCUAGAGCAUUGGAGAGGGUAGCAGAAUUCAUGGUGUAGCAGUGAAAUGCGUAGAUAUCAUGAGGAAUACCAGAGGCGAAGGCGGCUACCUGGACAAUUGCUGACGCUCAGGCACGAAAGCGUGGGGGAGCAAAAGGG
rnacentral:rRNA from 1 species